rnacentral:misc_RNA from 1 species
AAAAAAUUAGUACUUAGUCUUAAAAGGCUGUACGAUCUUUUUAUUUCAAAAUUUCCUUGGAAUACGAUUUUUUUGUAGUUGGCGUACGAUCACACUUUUUUGCACCUGGCAGCCUUGAUCACCAUGCUUGCAACAGCGAAAUGGCAACAAAUCUAUAAACUUCAAAUUUUGAACGUCUUUAUCAUGUCUUUAUUUUUUCAAAUGAAAAAUUAAAUUACGACUUUAAGGCCAUUAUUACAAAUAAAAAAAAAAAUAGUAUCUCUGAUUUUAAGAUCAAUAGUAACUAUUAAGUAUAGAAUCAUGUCGAGCGCAUCUGUAACGUCGUCUAGGCGUGAGAAAGUAGCAACUGAGUUAAUGCAGGAAUUGGAAUCCGUACGAGCGUUUAAUAGCAGCUUAAGGGCAUAUUUAGAACAUCUACGAGCUUUCCGGAAGAAUUUAACAACGGUUAACGAAAACUGCAAACAACUCAGUAAAAUUAAUUCGAUGUGGAUUGAAACUCUCAAUUUAAUGAAGUGACACUUCUUUUUUUAUUAUUAAUAAUAUGGUACAAAUUAUGUGACUGAGUAGGAUUAAUCACAACUGUUAGAAUUAAGUGGCCUUAAAUUAUCUAGAUAAGUUAGUAAAUUGUUUUUCAUAGUAUAUAACUAUUUUUUUUUUAAUUUUUUUUUCUUUAAAAUGUAUAUUAAAUGUCCUUUUACUUGUAGGAUUUAAAAAAGAUAAAUAUAACAGUUGUAAGAAAACAAACUGCAAAAUAUGUUUUUAUUUUUUUAUUUUUAUUGAAUAAAACAUUUUCAAGUAACU